GGGUUGGUUGUAGCCAUGCAAAAUCUCAAGCCCGUGCUGUCUAUAAAGGGAUUCACAAGUGAUUCUGUGCUCAUGGAACAUGGAUUGGUUCUGUAUUUGCGAAUAUGAGAAUGCUGCCCAUUGAUUUGCUGACCUUCAGGUUCUCUAAUAUGGAUCAGCUUUAGAUGAUCAGACAUGUCUUAAUGACUGAGCUGUGCUUCUGAAGAACCACAAGAAAAGGACUUGGGUUGACACUGAGGAGCUUUUUAAGAGUAAAGCUGCUGACAAUGGUUCUGAGGAUGGAAUUUACUAGGUUGAGCUGUUAGAAGUUGACUGUUCUACAUGACUCGAUCCCUUGAACGAGCAGCAGCUGAUAAAUAGAAAAAUAGUUUGGACUUCACAAUAUAUUGGUAGCUAAUGAACUGACAUUUGGCUUCCAAGAUCUGAGAAGCUAUCCAGAAAUUAUUAAUCUCAAAUAUAUUGGAAGACGUUUCAGAAUCUAAACUAGAUGUCAUCAGGAUAAUAAAACAAUUCAAUAAGUUGUA